CAGUCGCCGCGGGAAUACGUAGGUGGCAAGCGUUGUCCGGGAUUAUUGGGCGUAAAGGGCUCGCAGGCGGUUUCUUAAGUCUGAUGUGAAAGCCCCCGGCUCAACCGGGGAGGGUCAUUGGAAACUGGGAAACUUGAGUGCAGAAGAGGAGAGUGGAAUUCCACGUGUAGCGGUGAAAUGCGUAGAGAUGUGGAGGAACACCAGUGGCGAAGGCGACUCUCUGGUCUGUAACUGACGCUGAGGAGCGAAAGCGUGGGGAGCGAACAGGAUUAGAUACCCCGGUAGUCCCUGUCUCUUAUAC
rnacentral:rRNA from 1 species